CACAAUGAGAAGAAGCUGCUGCACGGCGACAUGAAGUCAUGCAAUGUGGUCAUCAAAGGCAACUUUGAGACGGUGAAAAUCUGUGACAUCGGUGUUUCUCUGCAGCUGGAUGAGAACAUGAGAGUGCCGAAUCGGAAGCUAACUUCAGCGUCGUGGGUUGGGGCAGUUCUGCAGUCACGCUGCUGCCAUAUUAUGGAAGGUAUGUUGAUUUGAAUAAAACUUAAUUUGAUUCAUGUAUAUACGAUGUGGCUGUGCAAACAGAGGUUGUUAUUGUCAUUUCUGAAACAGCUCCUGCAGUUUACUGUGUUAUUAGCCCUGUCACAAGCUAAUGCUAAUUCCCUGGAGCAACAAAAAACUGAUUCUGACCAAACCGCAGUCAUAACAACGUCUCAAAAUAGCAGAGAGUAUCUUUUUACCUCACUGAUGGCAUGGCUAGGUCUUUAGUGGAAACUGAACUUUGGUAGAAUCGCUGCAGCUGCGCUGACAGUGACCGAUGCAAGCUGUUUGUUUACAUAGCCAUGAGCUGGACCGCAGCAUUCAGAUCUAACCUUUCCGUGCUCUAAACAAUUCUGAGAGAGAGAAAGCUUCAUCUUUCCCCAGUUGUUGUGGCACCCGCGGACAGCGUAAUUGAUGCCAAACAUGUUAAAAUCGCUUAAAAGAACAGUUAAAAGUAGCUACAGUAGCGAGAGGACUCGAUGUUGUUAUAGUGCAAAGACGGUCAAUCGGAAGUCGCUCUCAAAAAUGGCGCUGCCCUGCCUCACUUCCUGAAUAAGGUGAAUACACAACCUGGUCUCACGGGGAUUCGUGAAACUGUCACGUAAGUUUUAGUUUCGGUUUCGUGCGCACCAACACGAAUACAGGCACUCUCGGCCCCACGGCUCGUCAGCGCCAAUAGGCAGUAGCGGUCGAUGCGGCGUCUACUCUUUAUUAUGUCUAUGGAGGAGAGUCUCCUCAAGGACUGAUCACAGCAGCAGAACCCUGAACCACAAGUUAGGGAUGAGACAGAUGAAGAUGAGUCGGUUGUUAGUUUUGAUAAUUUGCUCGCCCUCAGUCACAGGAUGUACAUACAUACAUGCUGAUGUUGUAAAGAGUAGUGUUGGAGAUUUGCCCUUUAACUGAUGUUCUGUGAAAUCUAAGUUGCGAUGGAACUGUUUCCUUGCAGAGGAAAAAAAGACGAUAGCGUUAUUAGAAACUGCAACACUUCUUAUUUUAUUUUUAUUUUUUUCUUUAAAAUGAAAUAUUUAUAUUUUUUCUUUUAAUUAAUUUUAAGAUUUGAAUAUCUGAACACUUAUUUGAACAGAACAGAUUCUGAUAUUGCUGACAAGUAUGUGUUGUAAAGAAUAAUGUUGGAGAUGUGCACUUAUUUUGAAAUAAAUCCACAUUGUGAAGCAA